UACGUAGGGUGCAAGCGUUGUCCGGAAUUAUUGGGCGUAAAGAGCUCGUAGGCGGUUUGUCGCGUCUGCUGUGAAAACUCGGGGCUUAACUCCGGGCCUGCAGUGGGUACGGGCAGACUAGAGUGCGGUAGGGGAGACUGGAAUUCCUGGUGUAGCGGUGAAAUGCGCAGAUAUCAGGAGGAACACCGGUGGCGAAGGCGGCUCUCGUGGGACGGUACUGACGCUGAGACGCGAAAGCGUGGGGAGCGAACAGG
rnacentral:rRNA from 1 species